GAAUUUCAAUUUGAUUUCAUAAAACUCAUCUUUAUUUGUAAAAUAGUUGAUAGAUCAGUAAGUUAAUCUAGAAACCUUUAAUUUUCGAUCACAAUGACUUUUAUAAAAUCAAAUUGAAAUUCAGUAAGUUUUACAAAAAAAAUUAAAAUUCAGUGACUUUUAUGAAAACACUCAUAAAGUUAAGUGACCACGUGUGAUAAUUACCUGCGGAAUUUUAUUUUUGGAGUUGUGAUUUUGUAAUUUCCAAUAUGAUGGAAAAGUUGUCCUAAUGUCUUUAUAAGUCCUUAUUUUUAUUUUGAAGUCUUCUGCUUGGGCCCUUGUUACUUUAGGAUAAUAUUACUAACUUUAAUUUUCCUUGGAAGUCCAAAUCUAAGGAAUUAGGUGUAGUUUUGAAUUUCAAUGUCUUAAAAGUUCGGCAUUAGUUUUAAGUCUUCAAAUUAUGUUCCUAAUGCUUCUAUUGCAGUCUUCAAUCAAAAUUUCUAGCAAUGGCAUUUCAUUGGAUUUGCGAUGCAGAUCAAUCGUGGUGUGAUACCUAAAGAACCUUGGGUAUGAUGCCAAUGGAACAGAUGCGAAGCAUUGACUCUUUUAUUUUAUUGUUCAAAGCUACUGUUCACAAUGCUCUGAUACACUAAAAAGGACAGUGACAAACACACCUAUUACCCCUUUUUAUGUGGAAAAAAAAAAAAAAAGACUAAAAUUGGAAUUUGAUUUUUGGGUGAAUUAUCACUAAUCUUAUUUUUGUUUGUUGCUAUAGGUUGUGUGCACUGCCUGCUGACAGAUCAGUGGAGCUCAUAUCUACUAUCUAGUAUGGUUUUGGUUAGGUGCAAUGCCAGCCCGAUUGGUGCACAAUUGAGGUUGGAUAAUUGGUUUCUAGAAAUUUGCAUUUGGUAUAAAUGUAACCUAAAAAGAAAGAGUUUUUAGUUUGUGAAAAACAACACGAUUGCUUGUGAGUGCUCUGAAUAAAGUUGAGCCAAUGAAUUGUUAAUGAGAUGCCUCUGGCUAACCUCAGAGCUGAAGUUUGAACAUUGAAAUGAUCAUGGAGUUUGGUUUUGAGGAGAAACGUGUUUGACCAGAUAUGGCUUAUCAACAAAAUGAAUUUAUGAUUGAGGGCCUACCUUGUUCUCAUAUGAAGGGUGUCUUUAACUUGUGAUUGAACAGGUGAAAAGUACAUUUAGUUAUGUCAGGAUAAGCGGCGCGGCGCGCAAUGAGACUCGUAAAGGAUGAAGCAAGGAGUAGAAUGAAUUAUUUAAUUUGGCACGCUUUGCCUAUACGGAAUUUUGAGAUCACUACUGAUUGCCUCUUGAUUUUCUUGGAGGAAAGGCAUAAUUAUGUAAUUGCUGUGAUGCAAAUUCCUUGUUCUGUAUUUUCAUUUUCUGUUUCGUUUUUACAUUUAAAAGUAAAAUGAUUAUAUUUGUUGAGAUGAUGAAGUUUGUACCCUUCUAUGCUACCUAAGUCUUCAUGGACAACUUUCCAAUGAAGAUAAGAAUUGGG
rnacentral:misc_RNA from 1 species